UGAGUGACAAAGCAAGUACUGGAAUCUGUCCUCUGUUAAGGCAGACAUUAAAGAAACUCUUUGAAAGAUGGCAGAGAGAGGAAAUCUGACUUGCCCAAGGUCACACAGCAAGUCAGCUGUGAAGCCGGGGAAGGCAUCCAAGUUCUCUGUGUCCGCAGCGACUACUUUUCCACAGCCAAAGCACCUUGAGGUCUGGGGGAGUCAUGGCUGCUUUCAUUCAAGGCUGCUGCUCCUGAGUUUCGCCUCCAAGCAUACAUUCUUCAGGAAACUAUCCAGCUAAGCUUUGUCUCUUCAUUUAUAAGACCGUUGGGAUGAGUCUCAGAGAGGCCAUUCCUCAAUCACCAGCCAACGUGAAAAGAGGAGAGAAGGAUAACACAAGAUCUUUCUCUUGAUGGUGGAAAGGAAUGUACAGUCCACAACAUGGGGAGUGGGCCAUAUCAUAAUCUCCUGAGGAACUUUCUCGACAGACAUCUCCUCCCUUCCCCAGAGAUUGUGAUGAGUCGGCAGAGCUAACAUCAACCCCGAUCCCACAACAGCCCUGACAGCCAAAUAACAAAAUGGAGCACUUGGACUGGAUUUUCUCUUUGCCCUCAUCCUCUGAGGUAGAUGUUAACAGUCAGGCAGAGAAAAGGUGAGCUGUAGAGGAAACCCAGGCCCUGAACUAUCAUUAGCACAGGAUGGGAGGCAAUGCACGCCUGCCUCGGUUUACUGCAGCCUGGGGGGAAAAGA